AGAGUUUGAUCCUGGCUCAGGAUGAACGCUGGCGGCGUGCCUAACACAUGCAAGUCGAGCGAUCUCUUCGGAGAGAGCGGCGGACGGGUGAGUAACGCGUGGGUAACCUGCCCUGUACACACGGAUAACAUACCGAAAGGUAUACUAAUACGGGAUAACAUAUAAAAGUCGCAUGGCUUUUGUAUCAAAGCUCCGGCGGUACAGGAUGGACCCGCGUCUGAUUAGCUAGUUGGUAAGGUAAUGGCUUACCAAGGCAACGAUCAGUAGCCGACCUGAGAGGGUGAUCGGCCACACUGGAACUGAGACACGGUCCAGACUCCUACGGGAGGCAGCAGUGGGGAAUAUUGCACAAUGGGCGAAAGCCUGAUGCAGCAACGCCGCGUGAGCGAUGAAGGCCUUCGGGUCGUAAAGCUCUGUCCUCAAGGAAGAUAAUGACGGUACUUGAGGAGGAAGCCCCGGCUAACUACGUGCCAGCAGCCGCGGUAAUACGUAGGGGGCUAGCGUUAUCCGGAAUUACUGGGCGUAAAGGGUGCGUAGGUGGUUUUUUAAGUCAGAAGUGAAAGGCUACGGCUCAACCGUAGUAAGCUUUUGAAACUAGAGAACUUGAGUGCAGGAGAGGAGAGUAGAAUUCCUAGUGUAGCGGUGAAAUGCGUAGAUAUUAGGAGGAAUACCAGUAGCGAAGGCGGCUCUCUGGACUGUAACUGACACUGAGGCACGAAAGCGUGGGGAGCAAACAGGAUUAGAUACCCUGGUAGUCCACGCCGUAAACGAUGAGUACUAGGUGUCGGGG
rnacentral:rRNA from 1 species